AUGAAGAAAUUCAACUUCAUGAGCAGAAAGAGUAAGCCAUUGGGGAUAGAGGACGGGAGUCCUCUGAUUAAGAACAGUACACUGCCUACAGAUGAAGAGGAACAAACCGGGAAUGUGGGAUAUGGGAAUCCCUACUUGGAGAAUGGCUUUAACAAUCAUCAGGAGUUGGGCAGUCAGGGGGGUCAGGAGAAGGGACAGUCAUUGCUCAGUGUACUUGCAGAAGCUUUGAGGGUCAGCCAUGUUGGCCCUCAAGAGAGACUUGAAGCUAAUUUGGAGGGGCCACCAGAAGAGAUUAUGUGCCAUGAGGCUCAGAAGAAGGACGAUACACACCCAGAAGUCUUGCUCCAGAGGUACUUUAAUCUUAUUGAAGCGUCUGUGGACAAACACUUCCCCAAACUGCCAGCAGGGAACACUGUGAAUCAGCUGGAGGGCUACCUGAUAAAAGUGCAAAUAACUGUGCAAGGGGAGCUUCUGAGGUUGGCACCCCUGCUCAAAGAGGCUCAGUUGCGGAAGCAUUUGAUUGCUUGCUAUCAUCAGCGUAUGUUUGACUGUCUACAGCAGAUCCUUCAGCAUGUCAACACAAAAAAAGAGGCCUUCACAGUUCUUGACUGGGUACUACGCACAUACUUGAGUGAGGAGCUGCUAGGACACCCCAACAUCUGGGGUGAGGCUCUACAUGCAGUUGACCUUCUCCUUCUGACAGACUGGAUCCCACAAGCUGAGAAUAAACUCUUGGCCAUUGUGCAGGAGGACAUCUCCACAUCACUGAGGAGGAUCCUUCAGAACGAGGAGUCAGGUAGACAGGUGUGUGUCUCUGGAGAGGAGGCCUUUAUCAAACUGCAUCUGGAUGUCAUCCAGUGCAUCAAUGCUGUUCUCCAGAAAGCAAAGAUGAUGAGCCAAACUCUGAUGCGCAAGGUCCAAAUAGUCUGUUGGCAAGAGCUACAGGACUUUGUGGAAAGGUAUGUCAAUGUUGAAAAGAAGCACCUUCAGAAACAAGCAGGAAGGGGAACGUCAGGUACAAUGCACUUCUUUAAAACGUUCAACACCUGCAUUGAACUCAAGUUGUAUAUUUCAAGGAUUGCCAAAGAUGACACAAGCUUAGACUGUGUUAAAACCAUAUCAACACUUAAGGGGUUGGAGGCUCUUUCUUGGAAGCUUCUCCUGGAAAAACCAAUUCAACUUGCACAGAUUUCCUUGAAGAAGUAUUUCAAAAAAGAGGAUGAACAAAUGGAAAAUCUAAUGAAAGAGAUUAAAUUUAUUUUCCAAGACCUUCCCAAAGACAAGGAUACGCAAAAGACUGUGAUUAGCAAAGCCUAUCAGUGCAUCACCCUUCUGUACCUCCAACACCUGGUGCAGAGUAACCAUGGGAAGCUGGUGAAGAGAUGGGAUUAUGUGAACAAAAGAGUGAUGCAUGAUGCCGAGCUCCUUCACUCCAUCUUCUCAGUCCUGAAUCCUGAUGUUAAACAGUGGAACAUCAUACUGAUUAAAGUGAGAGAAGUGCUGGAAUGCAGAGACAUUGAAAGUCUCAAGAUAAUAGUCAGUGAGAUACUGAGGGACAAUGCCAGUACAAGUGCUGCUGAGCACCUUCCAGCCCUGCUGCGCUGGAAGGGAGGCCUGUCAUGGAGACUGACCCGGGAGGUUCUGGAGGCAAGCCAGGAAGUGUACCCCAUUGACCUCUCCCAAACCAGGUCUGCACCCUGGUUUGACUGCCUUCUUUGCUGCUGA
rnacentral:lncRNA from 13 species